AUGAUCAAGGAAUGGCUGCAACUCAAAAUCUGGCAUCAUUUUGAAUCCGCCAAAGCAUGGUGGAUCGUGCUCUCCGACUCCUCCGUCCCCAACAGGAAGGCGUUAGCCUCCCUUGCCUUGUUCACCUCUUGGGCCAUCUGGAACGAGCUUAAUGCACGGGUGUUUUGCCACAAAAGUGCACCGCCAUUUGUAAUUCUAGCCCUCAUCAAAGGGGAGGCGGCACUUUGGGUUGUCGCCGGGGCUAAGAGGUUGCGUUCAAUCAUGCCGGGGGAGUAA
rnacentral:rRNA from 1 species